GGGUUUGCGGUGAAAGGAUUCCGGCCGGGGAUGGGCAUGCGGCGCAUUAGCUGGUUGGCGGGGUAACGGCCCACCAAGGCGACGAUGCGUAGGGGUUCUGAGAGGAAGGUCCCCCACACUGGUACUGAGACACGGACCAGACUCCUACGGGAGGCAGCAGUGAGGAAUAUUGGUCAAUGGGCGGGAGCCUGAACCAGCCAAGUCGCGUGGGGGAUGACGGUCCUACGGAUUGUAAACCCCUUUAGCCGGGGAGCAACGGGCGCCACGCGUGGCGCAUUGAGCGUACCCGGAGAAUAAGCAUCGGCUAACUCCGUGCCAGCAGCCGCGGUAAUACGGAGGAUGCGAGCGUUAUCCGGAUUUAUUGGGUUUAAAGGGUGCGCAGGCGGCGCGUCAAGUCAGCGGUCAAAGUUCCGGGCUCAACCCGGUGAUGCCGUUGAGACUGCCGCGCUGGAGUUCGGGCGAGGACGGCGGAAUGCGUGGUGUAGCGGUGAAAUGCAUAGAUAUCACGCAGAACUCCGAUUGCGAAGGCAGCUGUCCAGUCCGUUACUGACGCUGAGGCACGAAAGCGUGGGUAUCGAAC
rnacentral:rRNA from 1 species